rnacentral:rRNA from 1 species
GACGAACCGUGCGAACGUUAUUCGGAAUCACUGGGCUUAAAGCGCGUGUAGGCGGGAUGGUGCGUCGACUGCUGAAAUCCCCCGGCUUAACCGGGGAACGGGCAUCGAUACGGCCAUCCUGGAGGAACGUAGGGGGACCUGGAACUUCCGGUGGAGCGGUGAAAUGCGUUGAGAUCGGAAGGAACGCCCGUGGCGAAAGCGAGGUCCUGGACGUUUUCUGACGCUGAGACGCGAAAGCUAGGGGAGCGAACGGG